GGAGCUGCCAUGAGAUGAAGAUGUUGUCUCCAGCAUUCAGUACCUGAUACCUUCACCAGACAAUGGUAGGUCCCUACAUCUGACCUCUUCAUCCCCUCCAUGAUAACCGAUCCAUCUGGUGGACCGGGAUCCGAAGAGUUAAAGUAAACUCUGUUCAUCAAGGAAAACUAGAACUUACUCUUCCUUAUGAAGGUAGUGAGCAGUCCCCAUUUCUCCAUGUGCACGGUCUGCUGGUGAACUGCGAUUUCUUUGUCCUGUGAUUUGAGCUCCAUGGACAGUGUGGAAAGGACACAUUUGGAGGCUCCUUGGCUGAGGCGGACAUAUCUGCUGGUGUCGUGUUCUCGUUUCUCGACAGGUUGUCCGGAGUGGGCAGAUGUUUUCGUCUCACUGGAUGAGUCUGGUGAGGAUGACGCACAUCCUUCAUUUUAGGGUUUGGCUUCUCUGCACGGUGUCUGGACUGGGCAGAUGUUCCCCAUCAGUGGAAAGGUCUGAAGCGUAAGCACACAACUCUCCGUUGGUUGACCGCUUCACUCCCUUUUUUUUGUCACUGCACACUUCAUGUAAGUAUAAAGAUUAAGUGGAUGUGCACAUCAAAGUUACUGUGACUUGUCAUUUGCCAUGAACUGCUCACCUCUUAGUUCAGCCGUCGCGGGUGAGAUUGUUUUGUGCUGCCUUUGAAUUUUGUUCUUCAGUUUUGUGACCUCAUCGAUGUCUUCAGUUGCUUUUUGUGACGUUUGGACACCUUUAAAAAAUUUUUUUUUUUCUUUCUGUACUUUUUCUUUAAUUGCAGUGACCUUUGAAAGGUUGAAAGGUGUUAAGGGUUAACAAAACAAAUGUAUUAGCUGUUUGUGUUUAUGAAAAGUAGAGAGCACUUUUUAGGAUUACUUCAUGUUUGUGAGAGUGUAAUACAUGCUGAGCUAGUUGAAGGUCUCUUACUGGGCACAUGGGGCAGUCUAGAGACCUGCUGUAUCUGUAAUACAAACAUGGGGCAGUCUAGAGACCUGCUGUAUCUGUAAUACAGACAUGGGGCUGUCUAGAGACCUGCUGUAUCUGUAAUACAAACAUGGGGCUGUCUAGAGACCUGCUGUAUCUGUAAUACAAACAUGGGGCUGUCUAGAGACAUGUCUAGAGAAUUUACAUAUUUUUCUAUAUUCUGUAACCCUGACUCUAAUCCUAGUAUUGAAUAUAUUGGGAGGAACCAGAUGGUCUGACCUGCCCCACUGGAGACCUAUGGAGCUCAGAUAUAGACCAGACUUGGAUUACAGAGAUUUUGCAGAAUCUUUCUAGAAGUAAGGUCUAGACCAGGUAGUCACCUCGUCUCCCGGUGGAGGUGGACUGGAUUGCUGGAGUUUUCAACUAAUGUCCUCAAAAUAUCUACCUUUAGAGACUUUGCAUCAAAACGCUUUGUUAUAUUUUGAUCUUUCAGGUGUGUAACCACAAAACCAUGGGCACCUAUAGUAAAGCAACAUUUUCCCUCACUAAAGAGGAGUUUGCCUGGUUUGACAGGUUUGCUGACCUCCAUCAAAGGUUGCCAGGCUACAGAGAUGACACUGACACCCUGUUUUCACAAGAACAGACACUGCACUCAGAAAAAUGUCUCAGUAUGUUUCCAUGGCCUGGGCCCGUGCGGGGUUACGAGAGAACACAAACAACAGACAUAGUUAUGUGCAAAAUAAUAGCAGUCUAACAUCACUAAUGUAUUUAAUUACUGAUUUUGGCAGAAAAGAUAAUACA